UACGUGGGGAGCAAGCGUUGUUCGGAUUUACUGGGCGUAAAGGGCGCGUAGGCGGCCACCGCAAGUCGACUGUGAAAUCUCCGGGCUUAACCCGGAAAGGUCAGCCGAUACUGCGGGGCUAGAGUGCAGAAGGGGCAACUGGAAUUCUCGGUGUAGCAGUGAAAUGCGUAGAUAUCGAGAGGAACACCAGUGGCGAAGGCGAGUCCCUGGACAACUCCUGACACUGAGGCGCGAAAGCUAGGGGAGCAAACAGG
rnacentral:rRNA from 1 species